ensembl:lncRNA
AUUUUAGCAACUCUGGAUACUGAUGCCCUCCUUUUCUCUGGGCGUGUUUUUACAGUUGUUCGUCUGUUUAUUUGCUUAGUGAUAUGGCUAGACUGCUCUAGUGAGUCCGUUUCCCCUGCAGUGUGAAGUCCUUUGGUGUCAGUCUUCAGAGGGUGCACAUUAAGCAUGAGCAGAGUCACCUGGGCUUUCCAGGGGGCUCUCUGUCUCUUUCCAGAUCCCUCCAUUCAGCCGUUUCGGUUAAUAUCACACCCAGUUGUUGGGCUCCGCUAAUUGUUGGCUGCCUGGUCUGCUGUUUUCAGCAAUGCCCAUAAACUGCUGCACAGUCUUCUGGCUACUGCUCAGCUUUGAGGCCAGUCACUGAGAACUUUGCAGCCCUCUGUGAACUGCCUUUCUCCUGGGAAGAAUCUUUGGGCCACUGCUCUGCAGUGGUAGCCUCUGCUUUUCGUGACUUGCUUCUCUUGGUAUGGAACCUCUGCUCUAUAAGUGAUCAGCGGUAGGUACAGUCAGGACUCCCAUAUGCCAUGCCUCCAUUCAGGGGGUAGGCGCUGCUUGGAGGACGCGUGCCCCCAAGCUCUCAGCCACACUCACCAGGAAUUUAGCUGCUUCAGCUUGGAGUUGGGAGGAUGAGAAAUGUUGGUGUCCUGUUCCAUUGGUAAGAUGCCAUGUCCUUUGAUCAGGAACUGAAAGGAGAGGGAGCCCCAUCUUCUUGGCCAUACCCACCCCACAUGGAGUCUGUCAAGUGGAGCUGGGGGUUGGUUGGAGCUCCUUAUGCUGCUGUCUCAGAAGUGGACCCUUUCAACCUUGUUUCUGAGCUGAGACUGAUGAAACCUGUGGUUCCCAGGCCUGCAGGUGUGGGAAGAGGUUUAAAAUCCCUGCUGCCUGCCUAUUUCACAUUGAUGUGAAAAUCAUGGGGUAAGAAAUGGGAGAUGACAAGAGAGCCCCCUCUCUGUGAAGCCCCAUAAGGCUUUGUAGACUUGUUCUGGAGAACUACGAACCUCAGUCUAACAGUUGGACAUUUAGCAUAGCUGCGGAUGCCAAUGCACCUUCCAGCAUUAUUUGUAAAAAUAUCUGAUGGUUCUUUAGUCUUGUUUACAAAAUCUUUUAA